CCUACGGGUGGCUGCAGUGAGGAAUCUUCGUCAAUGGACGAGAGUCUGAACCAGCCACGCAGCGUGAAGGAUGACUGCCCUAUGGGUUGUAAACUUCUUUUAUAAAGGAAUAAAACGACGCACGUGUGCCUUCUUGCAUGUACUUUAUGUAUCAGGAUCGGCUAACUCCGUGCCAGCAGCCGCGGUAAUACGGAGGAUCCGAGCGUUCUCCGGAUUUAUUGGGUUUAAAGGGAGCGUAGAUGGGUUGUUAAGUCUGUUGUGAAAGUUUGCGGCUCAACCGUAAAAUUGCAUUUGAUACUGGCAGUCUUGAGUACAGAUGAGGUAGGUGGAAGUCGAGGUGUAGCGGUGAAAUGCGUAGAUAUAACGAAGAACCCCAGUGGCGAAGGCAGCUCACUAAACUGUGACUGACAUUGAGGCUCGAAAGUGUGGGGAUCAAACAGGAUUAGAUACCCGUGUAGUC
rnacentral:rRNA from 1 species